rnacentral:rRNA from 1 species
GACGAACGCUGGCGGCGUGCUUAACACAUGCAAGUCGAACGGAAAGGCCCUGCUUUUGUGGGGUGCUCGAGUGGCGAACGGGUGAGUAACACGUGAGUAACCUGCCCUUGACUUUGGGAUAACUUCAGGAAACUGGGACUAAUACCGGAUAGGAGCUCCUGCUGCAUGGUGGGGGUUGGAAAGUUUCGGCGGUUGGGGAUGGACUCGCGGCUUAUCAGCUUGUUGGUGGGGUAGUGGCUUACCAAGGCUUUGACGGGUAGCCGGCCUGAGAGGGUGACCGGCCACAUUGGGACUGAGAUACGGCCCAGACUCCUACGGGAGGCGGCAGUGGGGAAUAUUGCACAAUGGGCGGAAGCCUGAUGCAGCAACGCCGCGUGCGGGAUGACGGCCUUCGGGUUGUAAACCGCUUUCGCCUGUGACGAAGCGUGAGUGACGGUAAUGGGUAAAGAAGCACCGGCUAACUACGUG